rnacentral:rRNA from 1 species
GGGUAGCGACUGUUUAUCAAAAACACAGGGCUCUGCGAAGUCGCAAGACGACGUAUAGGGUCUGACGCCUGCCCGGUGCUGGAAGGUUAAGAGGAGAGGUGCAAGCUUUGAAUCGAAGCCCCAGUAAACGGCGGCCGUAACUAUAACGGUCCUAAGGUAGCGAAAUUCCUUGUCGGGUAAGUUCCGACCUGCACGAAUGGCGUAACGACUUCCCCGCUGUCUCCAACGCAGACUCAGUGAAAUUGAAUUCCCCGUGAAGAUGCGGGGU